GCUCAUAAUAACCAUUGAUGCUAUUACUAUUAUUAAUGGCAUCAAUUAUUACUAUUAUUACUAUUAGUAAUAGCAUCAAACACACAAAGAUCAGGGGUUCUGUAGGCUAUUGGUGUCUACUUAAGUACAAUAUAUGGAUAUUAUCGUGGCCACAUUGACAAAACGAGCAGAUAUCAUAGAGACCACAGCUACCUGAAAUAACCCAGGAUCCCUAAAUUUGGUCCCCCGGAACUUGAAGAUUUGAUGAAUAUACUGCCAAAGAUAGACACACUACCUUCAACUCAUGGAAGUUGUGGGACUCUCCAUGCACUGCCCCACUGCUACCCCUUUGGUGAAUUUAUAGAAAAUUAGAAAAAGGUUCUUCUUCUCUAAGACACUUGUCUGCUAAUUUGCUGGAGAAUCAUAAAAGCCCUAUGAAUCUACAAUCACUUUGAGUCAAAUGGUACUCCCUGUAAUUGAGUUGCACUAUUUGUACACUUAAAAUUUACUGCACACUUAAAAUUCUCUCUGGAGGCUACCCCAUGGAUUCUGGUGCAGCAUGUGACCCUGGAAUCCCCAAUUGUAAGUUCUGUGAAAAGUUAAUCUGAACCAAAAGUCAAGAUACAAUGGUCAAACAAUAGGUGAACCAUCUUAAGUGUAUGUUUACAUAAUUAAGAAGUUGGAAACAGGUAUGAAAUGAAGGUUUCUAUCCCCAAAUUUUAGGGAACAUAACUGUUGGUUAGAGGUACAAAUGCUAUCCCUUAGGUUGACCAAAAAUAGUGGGCUUAGAGAAGCUGUCUCAGCUCAGCUAUCACAUGCUAACGUGUCUCUUUUUUGAAUGUUCUUCCCUUUACCCUGAGUGCAAAACUUUUAUUAUUUUCUAUUUAUUAUUUUAUGCAGAAUAUUGAUUUAAAAUCUUAGGAUGGUUAUAAUGAUUAGGAUAAUAAUAGCCAGAAUGUGUUUAAGGUCCUGUAAUAAGCACUUUACAUAAAUUUUAAUUUAGGAGAAAAUGUUUAAUUAUUUAUUUAAAUGUAAUGUUCCUAUCCCCUAGUGAAAAUAAGCCCAAUUUUACAACACCAAAUAGAGACUUAGGCUCACUUAAAGCCGUAAAGGGAACUUUGUGAUUAUGCAUCUGUUCCCUCAUGGGGGAAGAGAAAGUCUUUGAAAGCCCAGUUUUAAAAUGAUAUUUACAUGUAUAUCUUCAUGACUUUAAAUUAGGCAAUGAUUUCUUAGGUAUGACAUCAAAAGCACAAGAAACCAAAUUAAAAAUAAGUAAUUUAGUCUGGGCACGGUGGCUCACAUCUGUAAUCGUAGCACUUUGGGAGGCCGAGGGCAGAUCACCUGAGGUCAGGAGUUCGAGAUUAGCCUGGCCAACAGGUGAAACCCUGUCUCUACUAAAAAUACAAAAUUAGCCAGGUGUGGUGGCACAUGACUGUAGUCCCAGCUACUAGGAAGGCUGAGACAGGAGAAUUGCUUGAGCUCAGGAGGUGGAAGUUGUAGUGAGCUGAGAUCAUGCCAUUGCACUUCAGCCUGGGUGACAGGAGCAAAACUCAAUCUCAAAGAAAAAAAAACAGAAGAUUUCAAUGGACAUCACUCCAAAAAUGGAUACAAAUGGCCAAUAAGCACAUGAAAUAUGAGAGGACAGUCAACAUCAUUAGUAGGGAAUUGCAAUUGAAAACCAUAAUGAAGAAUCACUUUAUACCCACUGGGAUGGCUAUUAUAAUAAUUUUAAAGGAAAAAUAGUACUGAGAAGAUAUAGAGAGAUUUGAGCCUUCAUUCACUGCUGGUGGGACUGUAAAAUGGGAAGCCUCUUUAGAAAACAGUUUGGCUGCCCCUCAAAAGCUAAGGCAGUUAUCAUAUGAUCCAGCAAUUCCACUCCUAGGUACAUACCCAAGAGAACUGAAAGCAUAUGUUCACACAAAAACUUGCACAUGAAUGUUCAUAGUAGCAUUAUUGGUAAUAACGAAAAAGUGGAAACCAAUCCAGAUGUUCAUCAACUGAUGAGUAGAUAAACAAAUAUAGUAUGUCCAUAAAAUGGAAUCGCCAUAAAUAGGAAUGAAAUAUUGAUAUAUGUUACCACACAGAUAAACCUUGGAAACAAAAUGCUAAGUAAAAGAAGCCAGACAUAAAAGGCCAUAUAUGAAAUGUCCAGAAUAGGCAAAUCCAUAGAGACACAAACUAGAUUAUUGGUUGCCAGGGGAUGGGGGAGGAAAGAAAGGGAAGUAACCACUAAAGGGUGGAGGGUGUCUUUUGUGAUGUCCUGGAAUUAAAUAGUGGUAAUGCUUGCACAACUUUGUAAAUAUACUAACAACUACUGACUUGUAUUCUUUUAAAAAAUGACUUUUAUAAGCCUACUGAGAGCACAGGACUUAGGAGGCCUGAGCUUAAAUCCCAGCACUAUUUCUCAAUAAUUAUGUGAACCUAGACAGGUCAUUUAAGUUCUAGCUCUCAGUUUUCUCUGUAAAAUAAAGAUAGUAUCUGUUUGACAAAGCUGUUAAGAUUUAAUGAGAUAGUCACUGUGAAAUCACCUGGUGCAGUAUCUAAAAUACAGCAGGUUUUCCACAAAUAUCAAUUGAACUCAUUGGAUGAAUACAAACGGGCUAUGUAGCCAUCUUCUGAUGAGUAUAUUCCACGUUUUUUGUCAGAGGCAGUGGGUAUCCCUUGAACAAUGCAAAGGAGUUGUGCUUCUCUUAGAAGGCAGUAUAUUAUUAUGUUUAAGCCUGUGAACACUGAAGCCAAACUUGUCUUGGUUACUCACCAGCUGUAUGACCACAGCGUUUACUCAGUUAUUUAUAUUUUAGUAUUUUUAUAUAUAAAUGGGAUUAAAAAUGGUACUUACUUUAUAAGGUGUUUAGAAGUGUUAAAUGGCACAAAUUAAGUGUUCAGGGAGUGAUGUGGUUUGUCUGUGUCCCCACCCAAAUCUUACAUUGAAUUGUAGUUCCCAUAAUUCCCAAGUGUCGUGGGAGGGACCAGGUAGAGAUAAUUGAAUCACGGGGGCAGUUUCCCCCAUCCUGUUCUCAUGAUGGUGAAUUAGUUCUCAUGAGAUCUGAUGGUUUUAUAAGGGGCCUUCCCCCCACCUUCACUUCUGACUUCUCUUGCCUGCCACCAUAUAAGAUGUGCCUUUGUUCCUCCUUUGGCUUCCACCACGAUGGUGAGGCCUUCCUAGCCUUGUGAAACUGUGAAACCAUUAAACCUCUUUUUCUCUAUAAAUUGCCCAGCCUCAUGUAUGUCUUUAUUAGCAGCAUGAGAAUGGACCGAUACAGGGAGUAUUAAUAUUUCUAGCCAAAACUUGGAGCACAUUAGUUCCUUGAGGAGUGGUUGCAUUGUCUCAUUCUCCCUUGGGCCUCUAGGACAUGACAAAUUAAAUAGAGUCAGUAAAUACUUGUUGAACUGAAUUUGGUCUUUUAUGGACAGGAAAUGACCAAGCUCAGGGUUGUUAGCACUGCUAUAACCAUCUCCAACUGAAGCUAAUUGGAAGCUAUAUGUUUGGUGUAGCCCAAACAUAUAAACCAUAGUUCUGGCAAGUAUUCCUUGGAAUUAAUGCAAAAAUUAAUCUUUAUCUAAUUUAGUUUGGAUUUAAAGCCUUUUGAAACACUAAUACCACAAAUUUAAGAAAAUAUUUCUGUUGGUUGUGGUCCUAUUCUUGUGAUAAUAACUUGUUCACCUUGUGUAUACACAUUUAUUUUUAAUCUAGACCCAAGUUCACUUUUGUAGAAAAAUUAUACCAUGAUCUGUAAUACCUUUCUUUUUAAAUCAUAUAAUAUUCAACAACUGAAUACAGAAUAUCCCCUUAGAGAUAAAUACACCCGGACCUACAUUAAUGGGUCUCACUGGGUUCCUUGAAGCCAAGUCAUAAACUCUAAAGUUGAGAAGAGCCUCUGAGGUCAUCUAGUCUCUCCCCGAUGUGGCUUAGAUUUCUCUUUACAAUAGGAUCAAGCAAAGAGUUACUUAGACUGAUUAAAUACAUCCAGUUUGAAGAAGUAUCAUCCAAACAGCUCUGAAAGAAAGUUCAUCCUUAUUGCUGAAUUAAGAACUGUCUCCUUGUAGCUUCCAAUUAUUGAUUCCAGUUAAACUACGAUCAGGCACAUAUAAGCUAAUUUGAUCCUUCCCCCAACAGCUGCUCAAAUAUCUAAAGAUGUCUAUCACAUCCUGUCUAAAACUGUUUCUCUUACCCUUCCAGAUUAUGGUCAUAGGACAUAAAUGUCUUUUUUUCUUUUUCUUUUUUCUUUUUUUUGAGGUGGAGUCUCACUCUGUCGCCAGGCUGGAGUGCAGUGGCACGAUCUCAGCUCACUGCAACCUCUGCCUCCUGGGUUCAAGUAAUUCUCCUGCCUCAGCCUCCCGAGUAGCUGGGACUAUAGGCGCAUGCCAUCACGCCCAGCUACUUUUUGUAUUUUUAGUAGAGACGGGGUUUCACCAUGUUGGCCAGGAUGGUCUUGAUCUCUUGACUUCGUGAUCCGCCAGCCUCGGCCUCCCAAAGUGCUGGGAUUACAGGCAUGAGCCACUGCGCCCAGCCGAUGUCUUUUAAAAGUGUGAUGCAUUUAAAUGAGUCAUAAAUUCAGAUGGUUGAGAAAAAGGGGCAGGAAUAUUCAAAACUGUCACACUAGGUUGAACCAAAAGAAAGGUUUAUCUUCUCUUCUCAUUUGGACCUGCAAAAACAGCAUUUUCCUACGGCUCAACCUACACUUUCUCUAGCUGUUCCCCCCUCUGCAAAUUUGAUUAGUGUGUCUUCUGUGAGUUCAUCCUGAUCUCUAAGAAGUAUAUUUUAUUAGGCAAAGAGUAAUCCAGGAGUGCACCAAAGUCUGUCUUCCAAGUUCAUCAACUUAGCAAAAAUAUAUUGAACACCUAGGUAUCAGGCAUUUUGCAAGGCAGUAGUGAAGCAGUAGUGAAAAGGUUCGUUUCCCUGCUCUUAUAGUUCUUAGAGUAUAGUGGUUGGGGAAGCCAACAUUAAUUACAUAGUAACACAAAUAAACAUACAUUUACAAGAGCCAUUAUGGAAUCCUAACCUCUUUCGUGGUACACCUUUAAUGUAGUUUCUCUAAUGGAUUUCAUUUUGGGAACUAUAUCUCCAUGACUUUAACAGAUGUUAGCCAUAAACAAACCCACAAGAAAUUAAAUACGUUAACUUAAUGAAUAACAUCUUAAGAGUAUUAUUCAUCUGGUUGCCAGAGAGUGCCUGCCAAAAAUGACAAUUUGGGUUUGGCAUAAUUAAUGUUUAGUUGUAUUUCCAGGAAAUAAUUCGUCCUGAGUAUUUCUUGUGGCUCUUCCACUAAUAUAUUUUUGUACUAGAAAACCCUAGAAUGUCACACAAAUUGCCAAUGGAAUUUGAAUUUGAGGUAAAAUAGUUUUGGGGAAUAAAUGAUAAGAGGAAGGUAGCCUCAGAGUUAGGAAUCAUAGACCUGGGCUUGACCUUAAUAAUUAUCUGAUGUAGUUUUAUUCUUGGAGCUGAGUCUCCUUUGAAUUCCAAAAGAAUUGCUUUUUUUCCUGAGAAAUUUUUGAAAUCUCCCAAAGGUAGGAUCGAAUCGGAAUAAGGUGAUUUUAAAAUGUGCUUUUGUUCUUUAAUGGAAUUCAAUGUAGGAAAUUGAUAAUAAAUGGUACUCUUAAAAACUGGUAUAUACAAAGCACCACAAGCUGCUUUUAACAAGCAACUGUUAAGCAGUUACUAUGUUCUGAGCCCUGUGUUACAAGAGUAAUCACAACCCCAAAAAGAGAUUUAAUUUUUGGCUUUGUUCUUAUAAGGCAAAACAGGCCUUUGGCCAUAUCCACUUCUGGAUUUUUUUCCCAGCAAAGUUGAAUACUAAUUCAUCAAAACUGAGAUGGAGUAAAACCCUCUGUUAAUCAACAGCACUUGUCUACAGGGUGCCCCGUGAUGGAUAGAAACAAAUGGAAACUUUAUUGAUCUUUUCUGUUACAAUGAGUUGCAUUUCCUCUUGCAUUUUCACAGCACCUCUCUUGACCUGUAUUUUGUACUUACUUCAUUCACACUGUAGAACAUUAUUUCCUUGUCUCUUUUCACAAGUAGAAUUUGAGCCUCUGGAAGCAAGGAGUUAUUCAUCCUUAUUUCUUCAAAGCACCUCAACUAGUGCCUGGUACACAGUAAUUAUUUGGUGAAUGUUUAUUUGUUUGGCGGACUAAAAAGUCCAAGUUGUUCUCCCGAGUUCAAAGUACCAUUGACCUUGAAGGGAGAGAAAACUAAAACACACAAAAAAAGAAAAAAUAUUUUCCAGAGCACAGAAUUAAAUGUUAAAUGUAUGCAGUUCAGACUAAAAAUGCUUUAGGAGAGCAGAAAAAGAUACCACCUUGGGCAGCUUGUUGGGAGAUUUAAUGGUAAAGAAAGGGUAGAUGUUGCCAAUGCUUUAAGGAGGUAAGAGUGGAUCUGAGAGGAGUUUGAGUGGCUGUUCAGACAAGGGGACAACCUUUCCAAAGGCUAAAGGUAAGCAUAGGUACUCAAAUAUCCCUGAAGUAGGUUCUUCUCUCCAAACCCAAGUUUUGGAUAUCUGAGCAAAUUGAUUCACUGUUCUGUAAAAGGAUUUGGCUGGAUUAGAUUAAUGGUUUGUAAAACUAUUUUUUUUAAAGUGGUAGAAUAAUAACAAUUCUUUCUCGGUGGUAGUAGGGGAAGCUAUAGGGACACUAUGACCCACCCUCUUGGCCAUCACCUCAACCUCAAGGCCACUCCUGGGGCUCAUCAACUGAAUCCAUAGGACACAAUUUGAAGACUACUGAACUAGGAACUUUAAAGGCUGAGAGGACAAAAUAACUCCUCUCGACGAUUAAUCCACACAGUUUUUGCAGAAAGAUGAGGAGACACCAUGUCUGAGCAGAAGGUUGAUGGAAUGAGGCAGUAGGAACCAAGAUUGUGAAUACAGAGCAAUCAGCACCAUGCCUGGCACACAGUAGGCACUCAGGAAAUGUUAUGUAAAUGUAUGUGGGAACAUAGGCAAUGCACAAAACACCCACAAGAUCAUAGAAAGCUUUGAAAGUCAACCACCAGUGUUUGGACUUGAUCAGCAAGAAACAUGAAGCCACCCUAGAUUCUUCCAUGGGGGAAAUACAGGAUGAGCAUGCGUCUGGGGAAAAGGAGUCUGGCAACUAACUGGAUCCCUCAAUUAACUCAUAUUUUAUCUUUAAUUAGAAUAUAGUCUGGAUAUUACAUAUUAGGAAAUUACUGUUAGCUUUAUAAGUUAUAAUAGUGGUAUUGUAGUUAUUCAUAGGAAAUGUGUGCUGAAGUGUUGAGGGAUAAAUGGUUGUGACAGCUGCAACUGAUUUUCAAAUGAUUUACCAAAAAUAUUACCCAUACAUAAUAUACCUAUUAUAUAUGCACACAUAUGUAUACACAUAUUCAUCUAGAUAGAUACAUAUGGCAAAAUGUGUGGUGGUUAUAUUGGUGUUUCUUACAAUGUUUUUUUCUGUAUGUUUGUACAUUUUUAUAAUAAGAGAAGUGGGAAAAAAUGUUUUUCUUUCAUCUUCUUAUAAGAGAAAGAGGGCAAUUACUAUGAUAAUCAUAAACAUUAGGAGAAUGCUUACCCUGCGUAAUAAAGAAAUUGGCCUGACCCAAAGAGAGGUCUGGUCCUUGUCCCUGGCUUCUGGGAGGUAACCUUUAAACUCUUGGAAUUUUCCAAGUGAAAGAAACGUCUUUGUUAUUCAUGGUGGGCUAGACAACUCCUGGUAGUUUAUGCUAACAAGGUUACCCAUGGUGUGGCCCUUGAGCCAUGUGGUGUUAGCUUGACAUUGGAGAGUGAGGGGAGAGACUAGAAACUGAGUUUAACCACAUGUGCAAACAAUCAAUCAUGCCUACAUAAUGAAGCUCCAAUAAAUACUCCGGACACUGAAGCCAAGGUGAGCAUCCCAGGUUGGCAAUAUUACAUGUGUAUUGUUGCACAUUGAGACCAGGAGAGUAGAACAUCCUGUGGAUAAUGGAAGCUUUGUGUUUGGAGCCCCCCUAGAUUUGGCCCUAUGUGUCUCUUCCUUUGGCUGGUUCUAAGGUAUAUCCUGUAGUAAACUGUAACAGUUAUCAGUGUAAUGGCUUUCAGUAAGUUGUUAGCUCUUUCAGUGAAUUAUCAAAACUAGGCAUGGUUUUAGAGACCCACCCUAGGCUUGCAGUUAGUGUCAGAAGUGAGGACAGUCUUGGAGACUGUCCCAUUAGACUUUGCAGUUUGCCUAAUUUCAGAUACAGACAUUGACAUUCUCCUUAGUGCUUUAGUGUGGAUAUUUAAUACUCAUAACAUGAGUAGUAAUGGGUUGUUGUAGGUGCUACUAUUUUGCCUAUUUUACAGAUGAGGAAACUCAGGAAUGGGGAAUUAACUUGUUAAACAUCAUACAAUGAGUAAAUGGUAGAACUAGAAUUUAAACCCUGGCAAGCUGCUCCACAGCCUGUGCAUCUUGUUGAUUAAAAAAAGAAAGAAAGGAAAAAAAUAACUUAGAGAUACAAGUGAAAAGAAUUCCAGAGUAGGUAAGUCCAGGAAGCAAUGAAGGUUGAGUCCUGUCCCCUCUGUUCUCUGACUACAGUUCUGUAGAGCAAUAAUGGUCCUCCUGAAUGAGGACCCUGAGGCAUACCAAUACCUUGUUCUCUAAAAGAAAGAAUCAGUGAUGUUUAGUACUACAUACUUUGUUUUCUAAGGCCAUUAGGUGGGCUAAUUAGUUUUACAAAGAAGGCUAAGAGUUCUAACAGAAUGGGCUUUCUCAUUAACUCUUUGCUUAUCCAAGUAGCCAGACAUCCACAUUCUCUGACCGUUCCAGUUAAUACCAAGCUUCCUGUAAAAUUUCAGUGGCAUGGAAAAAUGCUGUAAAGGGGAGAGUAGUCCCACCUCUCCCCACUAAUUGAUAGUUGAAAAUAAUCCAAAUCUAAAUGGCAUGUGCUUCAGAAUUCCAAAAUAGGGGUGGUAAGAAUUGCAAUACCCUAAGGAAAUUAUAUUACAGAAGAUUUAUCUAAUAAGUGAAGCUGCCAUAUACUUUUCUUUUUCAAAAUCCAAAAUGCUCCAGUAGGAGGGUUCUAAUUUUAACAGACCACAAGUCUCAAGGCUUUGCUAGAACUAUGAUAGUUUUUUAAACCAACUAGCUGGAUAUUCAUUAAAUCAAAUUGUCACAAAAGCUUGCACAUAAAUGGUACUAUAUAGGUGCAAGGAAAAGUGUGAAUGACCAUAGUUGGACAUUUGCUCUUUUAAUAUGUGCAUUGGUGUGUGAACAAUAGCCUUACACAGGUUGUAAGGAUGCUAUUCUUCUCUUGCCACCCCCAGAAGCCUAGAGGUUCACUAGUGGGGGAAAAAAUUAGGCAAUGCCAAGAGCACAUAAAAAGAUGAGAAAAUCAAGAGAUUAAAACCUCUGGUGCUGUUUUAUUCUCCUAAAUUAGGCCUAAUGGUCAAAUGAAUCUCUAAGAGGUUUUAGUUUAUGCCCUUCUAUGGAAUUCCUUAAGUAGCUUAUAUUUCACUAGAACAAAAAACUCACAACUCUAAACAUCGUGUUUUGAGAUUAUGCUUUGCUCUAGUCAUUUUGUGAUUUUUUUCAAUCAUUAAAAAAAGUUCCACAAGAAAAUUAUGCAUUGUCCUAAAACCUUAUGUAAGGAAAAAAAAAAAGGAAAGAAGAAAAACAUAUACCAGCAAAGGAAAAUAGACAAUGUGUACAUGUUUCUUCAUCUGUAAAAUAAGAACAAUAAAAGUGCCUAUCUCCUAGGGUUGUUAUGAGGAUUACAUAAAUUAACAUUUUUAAAGUGCUUAGAACAGUGCCUGGCUAGUGGUAAGCUACAUAACUUUACUUAAUAAAACUGGCGCAACUGGAAUAAAGUGAACAUCAGAAAACCUGCUCUGUCCUCCUUGCAAGUAAUUAAGUACCAUGAGGUCUUUCUGGAGGCAGAGAGAAUUGAGGUACAGUGGGAGAAAUGUGUUUCCAGCAAGUCUUAGCUAAGUGUGUUAUCCCUUGGUUUAUUUUCAUUAUAUGAGUUUUUGAUUCCUGCAUACUUUGAAGUUUGCCUCAAGGGAAAAAGUUGAAUUGGGACUCUUUGUGACUAGAAUAUUUGGCCUGGAAGGUUGGCACCUUCAGCUAUUUCUCAUGCCAAGCCUUUGAGAUUCUGUUCCCGUUCCAAAAGCUGACAGGAGCUUCCUUGCAAGUUCCUCUGAAAGAAAUGAAUGAGACUAAACUCCAACAGAUUUCUGCCUUUACAGACCCUUAACCAGCCUAAUUAGCUUGGUGAAUUAGCAGUGUGAAGGGUAGAAUGCAGAGUGCGCCCUAGCUCUGGGGUAGAGGCACAUGGGGCCCCCAAGAUCAGGAAGCAGGACCAGUUCUACAUAACCAGUUGGGGAAGCUCCAAAGAGGCUGCAGUGAAAGACUGCAGAAAAGCUCCUGCCAUCCUGCAGCUGAUUCCACACACACACGCACACACACACAAAAACGUGGAUUUUGAACUGUGAACUAUGCAAAAUUAUAUUUACAACCAGAAAAGGCUUUGCUAUGCCAAACCUAGUGGGCAAUAUUACAUCAUUGACACCUUUGGACUUAAAAAGAGAAAGAAAAAUUUAAGGUGGUUCUGAGUAGCUCUUUUUCAUCUCUAAAGGGAGGGGGAAUGUGACCAAAAAUCGAAAAUGGCCCUAAACAGUGACAGUAGGGAUCCAGGUCAAAUACAAAAAAGAACUUCCAGGCCUUCCUAAAAUAACUAUACUCAAGCCCUAUCAGACUUACUGCUUUAUGUAAUAAAUAUUUGUUCAAAACUCUUUUACUAUCUUGAAACAAAGUUCAUAGAUAAUAUAACCUAUCUACAGGCAUAAUUUCAAAAUCAACACAUACUGCUCUAGCUGUAAAAUGAAUAUGAAUUUGUAAGUAAUUUAUAAUAAACUGUGUAUUUUAAUAUGUAGAUGUUUAGGCAUGACUUCACAAGAAGACAUAAUGGAAGAGAUAGAUGCACAACCUAGGAAAAAUAAAACCUAUUCAGUGGAUUAUCAACAUGCUUCUUUAUACUUGAAACUUUGAAAUAAAGAAAAAAUAUGUUUCUACAUAUGCUUGGAAUCACUGUGAUGCAACAGUUACAGUUGCACUGGAGUCUCAAAGUCUAGAAAUGGUGUUACUAUUGGUGAUAUGAUUUUCUGAAAUGGUGCACACAAUACGUAUUAAAGGUCUGAACUAAACAUGUUUAAAACUGCAAGAAAAUUUCAGAAAAUUCAAUGUGAAUAUAUUAAAACACAGUUAGAUUCUAGGCUUGGAUACUUUUAAACAAGGUGACUUGUUUUUAACUACAUGAAUGUACAGUGGGAUAUAUGACAGCCAUGAGAGAGUCAGGACAAUCCUACACUGUGUGGACCUGUUCACACAUUGCGAGAUGUCUAGCAUCCCUAGUUCCUGCCCAGGAGACGCCAGUGACCCACUCCAGACCCUCCCUCACCUGCCUCACCAUCCCUUGUCACUGUGACAAUUAAUAAUGACUCGCCAGAAGACGAAAACUUUCCCCGAGGGCACAGUGCAUCCCGCAUUAGGAGCUAUUGCUUUAGAACUUCACUAAUCUCCCAUCCUGAAGUCAGAGUGAGCGUCUGGGUACAAGGUCAGGCUUCAAGGGGCAGGGUCUGUGCUCUUCUUUGGGGGUAUGAUGGAACAGGGGAUUCCAGGUCACAAAUAAACUCCCUUCUCGAUGGAUCUCCACUCUUUUUUAUUUACUUUUACCUUUUUUAAAGCCAAAUGUUUUAACAGUCAAGUGAUACAUAAGUACCUGCCUACUACACACUUGCCCUCCAAAGCUCACUCCCCAAAAGCAAACACUUUCAGGUAUUCCCCUAGUGUCUUGCUUCCAAAAUUCUAAAUAACAUGCUUUUCUCUUCUCAGUUGAUUUUUUAAUCAUAAUUUUUAAUAAUUAUAUAUUAUAUAUGUUAAUAUAUAUUAUAAAAAUUACUUUUAACCACAAAUACUAUCGAUUGGCCUCCCAAUAGGGAAUACAGACUUUCAUACCAUAUGUAUAGCAUAUAUUGAAAUUAAGCUAUUUUCAUAUAAUGUUUUAGAUUUGCACAUGUAUAAUUUCAUGUGAUUCUCACAGAAUUGUUGACAGGUAUGUUGUCAUAUCGUUCCCAUUUAAAAUAUAAGGAAAUCAGAACACAGAUAAAUGUUGUGGCCAAGACCACAUGACUAGAAAAUAGCAAAGAUGGAACUGGAGCCCAGAAUAUUUGCUCCUAAUAUACUGGUUUGUUUGUUUUUUUUUUUUCAAUUUUACUUCAACAGCUAUGGAACCAUUUCGCUUAGAGUCUCGAUUCUGGUAAAAACUCCCUCAAAGUCCUGUUCCAGUGGCACCUUCUUCAUGAAACUUUCACCCCUGGGCAGGUCUUUUCUUUAUGUUUUCACAGCCGUUUGUCUGUGCCUCCAUUAUAGCCUUCAUCACAAUGAAUAAUAAGUUUCUCUUUUCACAAUACUCAAAGUUAGAGUGUGAGCCCAUCAAAGCCCUGGACAGCUUCUAAUUCCUUUUUCUGUCCCCAGAGUGCAGCAGGGCAUCAGGUGCCUAGAAGAUGCUCAGUCGUCAGGGAACGUGAAGAGGCAACUUUAAGCAGAGGCCUGUGCUGGGGGCACAGAGAUGACUAAAACAGAACACAUUUCCCGACUUCCAAACCCCCAGGUCAGAGCAAUGAACCUGGACGCUGUUGGAGAUGGAAAAAAAAGAACUAAGAUGGAGUCAGAGAAAAGGGACCCUACCUGUAAUUGCUGGAUGUGUAAAUGCCUUAGACAGUUCCACCCUGGAAAAAGUAAUCCCUUCCUAAUGCUGAAACCAGGCCAUCAGGAUCAGCUCUCUUCUACGUGAGAUGGGUGCAAGCUGGGUAAAAAGACAUCAGGAAGAAAGAGGAUUUAUGCUUGCUCUUCGGUGGACCAGUGGGAAUUACUGGGACAGAAUGCGAUGCAAGGUUCUCCUUUAUUACAACAUACGAACAGGCUAAACCAGAUUUCCCUCCCUAAGAAAAAAAACUAAAGCUCUUUAAAAGCACCAUUUAUGAACAAUAGCAAAUAUGUUCAUUGUAGAUCACUUUUAGCUGUUCAUUAAACCAAAUCCCCUGGGGACAUUUUAUGCCAAUGCUUUGGAAAUUAGUCCUUGUUACUUUAUGUAAUUGAAAACAAUAAAGCUAAGUGCCUGUUACACUCUUCUGUAAUUUGAAACAGGGACUUGCAACCUCAGGUCCUAUCUCCAGGCCCUUCAGUGGCCUCAGAGGUAAUGAUGGGAAACUGUGUGUUAUAUUCAUUAUAUCAGAAAACCUUGCAGAAAUGGGACAUUUAACUUGAAGCUGUAUGAGCUCACUAAAAUGCCAAGUCUCUGCUUUUUGACUGAGAUGACAUCAGUUUAGUACAAUAAUUGAUUGUCUAAAAGGAUAAUGAUUGAUAAUUGAUUAUCUCAUGCUAUCUGGGAACUUUAAAUAAUAGUCAUUUAAUGUCUUAGAUUAAUAUAAAUGGGAUAAAUUAAUCAUGCUAUAAGACUUUCAAAAAGAAGACCCUUUAGGAAAUAGGCUUCACGUGGAAAAAAACUAUUAACAGUUAAAAAAUCUAGCCAAAAAGUGGAAAGAGCCCAAAUGUCUGCCUCCUGAUGAAUGGAAAUAUGAGAUGUGGUAAAUCCAUUGUCUUAGUCUAUUUUUCACUGCUAUAACAGAGUACCACAGACUGGGUAAUUUAUAAAGAAGAGAAGUUUAUCUGGCUCAUGGUUCUGCAAGCUGAGAAAUCCAAGACUACGGUCCAGCAACUGGUGAGGGCAAUCCUAUAGCAGAAGGCAAAAGCAAACAUGUAAGACAGACAGAGGAAAGCCAAACUCAUCCUUUUCAUCAGUAAUCCACUGCUGAGAUAACUAACCCACUCCCUCCAUAGUAGCGUUAAUCCCCUCAUGAGGGUGGAACCCUCAUGACCUAAUCCCUUCUUUAAAGUUCCAAGUUCUUAAUACUUUUACUAUGGGAAUGAAGUUUCAACAUGAGUUUUGGUGGGAACAUUAAACCAUAGCAUCCACACAAUGAAGUAUCAUUCCAUGAUAAGGAAUGAAGACUUGAUAGAUAUUAUAACAUGAAUGAACCUCAAAAAAUUACACUUAGUGAAAGAAACCAGUUACAAAAGACUAUAUAUUAUGAUUCUAUUUAUAUGAAAAGUCCAUCCAAUGCAAAUCUGUAGAGACAGAAAGUAGAUUAGUGAUUAUCUAAGGCUGAGAUGCAGGAGAAUGGGGAAUAUGGGGAAUGACUCUUAAUAGCUAUGAGGUUUCUCUUUUGGAUAAUGAAAAUUAGACUGUGAUGAUAUAUAUAUAUAUAUAUCUGUAAAUAUAUAAAAACAAUGGAAUUGUACACUUAAACAGGUAAAUUUUAUGGUACAGGCAUACCUCAGAGAUAUUGCAGGUUUAAUUCCAGACUACCACAAUAAAGUGAAUAUUGCAAUAAAGCCAGUCACACAAACUUUGUUUCCCAGUACAUAUAAAAGUUAUGUUUAUACUAUACUGUAAUCUAUUAAAUGUGCAAUAACAUUUUGUCUAAAAACAACAAUUUACAUGCUUUAAUUGAAAAAUACUUUAUUACUUACAAAAUGCUAACAAUCAUCUGAGCCUUCAGCUAGUCUUGGUCUUUGCUGAUGAAGGGUCUGGCUUCAAUGUUGAUGGCUGCUGACUGAUCAGGGUGGUGCUUGCUGAAGGUUAGGGUGGCUGUGGGAAUUUAUUAAAAUAAGACAAUGAUUUACCACAUUGAUUGAUUCUUCCUGUCAUGAAAAGUUUUUCUGUAGUGUGUGAUUCUGUUUGCUAUUUUAUCCACAGUAUAACUUCUUUCAAAAUUAGAGUCAAUCCCCUCAAACCCUGCCACUGCUUUAUCAACUAAAUUCAUGUAAUAUUCUAAAUACUUUGUUGUCAUUUGAACAAUGUUCACCGUAUCUUCAACAAAUGUAGAUUCCAUCUCAAGAAACUACUUUCUUUUCUCAUUCACAACAAGCAAUUGGGAAAAUUUUAGAGAAUGUAUUCAAGUAUAAAGAAGAAAAUAUUACCACCACUGCCUAGUAAUAACCUUUGUCAACAUUUUGGCAUGUUUCUUUCUAAGGUUUCAUAUAUAUAUAUAUUUAUGUUUAUUUAUGACCUAAUUAAGUUCAUACUAUAAAUUCAUUUUUGUAGAUUACAAUAUCAUGACGAGCCUCCAGUUGGCAAUGGCUGCCAAAAAGCCUACAGUCAACAGCACAAAGCCUUACAGCAUUCAUGUUGUGAACAAAAUACUCCCAGCUUAACUUUAUGUUUUUCUAUUCAGACUUCUUUCAUCCUAUUUUCCAUGGUCCUUUAUUUCCAUAUUUAAUAUAAUUUUGUUGUAUGUAGUUCCAUGAAACAUUCUAAAGGCUUUCUAAAAUAAUUAUUUUCAUCAUAAUCAUUUUUAAGUAUACAGUUCAGUUGUGUUGAGUGUACUCUCAUAGCUGUAUGACAGAUCUCCAGAACUUUUCCAUCUCGAAGUAUUGAAACUCAUUGAACAACUCUGCAUUUUUUCCUCCUCUCGUACUCCUGAUAACAACCAUUCUACUUUCUGUUUCUGUGAAUUUGACUACUUUGGAUACCUCACAUAAUUGAAAUUAUACAGUAUUUGCCUUUGUAACUGGCUUAUUUCACUUAGCAUAAUGUUCUCAGUUUAUUCACAUUGUAGCACAUGACAAGAUUUCCCUUUUUUUGAGACAGAGUCUCACUCUAUUACCCAGGCUGGAGUGCAGUGGUGCAAUCUCAGCCCACUGCAAGCUCCACCUCCCAGGUUCAAGAAAUUCUCAUGCCUCUGCCUCCCGAGUAGUUGGAAUUACAGGUGCACAUCCCCAAGCCCAGCUAAUUUUUGUGUUUUCAGGAGAGACGGGGUAUUGCCAUGUUGGCCAGGCUGGUUUGGAACUCCUGACCUCAAGCAAUCUGCCCACCUCAGUCUCCGAAGGGCUGGGAUUACAGGUAUGAGCCACCAUACCUGAUCGAUAUUUCCUUUCUUUUUGAAGAUGAAUAACCCAUUGUUAUAUUCCACAAUAGUCCCCUUAUCCACAGGAGUUAUGCCUCAAGACCCCCAGCAUAUCCCUGAAACUACGGGUCUACUAUGUUUUUUCCUAUACGUAAAUACCUAUGAUAAAGUUUAAUUUAUAAAUUAAGGCACCAUAACAGAUUAACAACAAUAACUAAUAAUAAGAUGGAACACUUAUAAAAAUAAACUGUAAUAAAAGUGUGUGAAUGUGGUAUCUUUCUCUCUGUCUCUCUCUCAGUAUCUUAUUGUAUGUGAUUUUUUGGACCACAGUUGAAUACUGGUUACUGAAACCACAAAGAGUGAAAUCAGGAAUAAGAAGGGACUAUUGCACAGCAUUUUGUUUAUCCACUCACCCAACCAUGGACAUUUGGGUUGCUUCCACUUCUUGGCUAUUGUGAAUAAUGCUGCUAUGACAUGGAUGUGCAAAUCUCUUUGAGAGUCCCCUUUCAAUUAUUUUAGACAUACAGACAGAAGCAGGAUUUCUGAAUCAUAUUAUAGUUCUAUUUUUAAUUUUUUGAGGAAACCAUUAUACUUUUUUCAUAGUAGUUUCACCAUUCCCACCAACAGUGCACAGGAUUACAAUUUCUCAACAUUCUUGUCCACACUUGUUAUUUUCUGUUUGUUUGUUUAUAGUAGCCAUCAUAAUGGAUGUGAGGUGAUAUUCCAUUGUGAUUUUGUUUUGCAUUGUUCUAAUGAUUAGUGGUGUUGAGCAUCAUUUCAUAUUCUUGUUGGUUACUUGUAUAUCACCUUUAGAGAAAUGCCUAUUCAAGUUCUUUGCCCAUUUUUGAUCAGGUUGUUUUUUGUUGUUGAAUUGUAGGAGCUCUUCAUAUAUUCUGGAUGUUAAGCACUUAUCAGCUAUCUGAUCUGCAAAUAUUUUCUCCCAUUCACUUAUUAAUUCUGUUAAUUGUGUCCUUUAAUGCACAAAGGUUUUAAAGUUUUAUGUAGUCCCAUUUGUCUAUUUGUGGUUUUGUUGCCUAUGCUUUUGGUGUCACAUAUAAGAAAUCAUUGCCAAGUCCAAUGUCAUGAAAACUUUCCCCUAUGUUUUCUUCUAGGGGUUUUAUAGUUUUGGUUAUUAUGCCUUGGUCUUUAAUACAUUUUAACUUAAUUUUCAUAUAUAGCAUAAGAUAAAUGCAUAAUUUCAUUCUUUUGCAUGUGGAUAUAUAGUUUCCCUUGAGCCAUUUGUUGAAGAGAUCGACCUCUUCCCAUUGAGUGGUCUUGGAACCCUUGUCAAAGACUGUUUUACCAUAUAUUUGAGGGUUUAUUUCGGGCCUCUCUCUUCUAUUAUAUCAAUCAACAUGCCUGUUUUUAUGCCAGUAUCACACUGUUUUGAUUACUAUAGCUUUUUGUAUGUUUUGAAAACAGAAAGUGUAAGACCACCACCUUUGUUGUUUUUUGUUUGUUUGUUUGUUUUGAGAUGGAGUCUCACUCUGUCACCCAGGCUGGAGUGCAGUGGCACAAUCUCGGCUUACUGCAACCUCAGCCUCCCAGGUUCAAGUGAUUCUCCUGCCUCAGUCUCCCAAGUAGCUGGGACUACAAGUAUGUACCUCCACGCCUGGCUAAUUUUUUGUAUUUUUAGUAGACACAGAGUUUCACCAUGUUAGCCAGGAUUGUGUCCAUCUCCUAACCUCGUGAUCCACCCACCUCAGCCUCUCAAAGUUCUGGGAUUACAGGCGUGAGCCACCAUGCCCAGCCCCACCUUUGUUAUUUUUUAAGAUUGUUUUGGUUAUUCAAUAUCUCAUGAGAUUUUAUAGGAAUUUUAGGAUGGCGUUUUCUAUUUCUGCAAAAAAGCCAUUGGGAUUUUGAUAGAGAUUGCAUUGAAUCUGUAGAUGGCUUUUGGUAGUAUAAGCAUCUUAACAAUAUUAAGUCUUCCCUACACAUUAGGUACAGUGUACACUGCUUGAGUGAUGGGUGCACCAAAAUCUCAGAAAUCAUUACUAAAUAAUUUAUUCAUGUAACCAAACACCACCUGUUCCCCAAAAACCUAAUGAAAUAAAAAAUAAUUUUUUUAAAAAACAAUGUUAAGUCUUCCAAUUCAUGAACCUGGGAUGUCUUUUUAUUUAUUUGGGUCUUCUUUAAUUCCUUUCAGCAAUGUUGUGUAGUUUUCAGGUAAAAGUGUAUCUCCUUGGUUAGAAUUAUUCCUAAGUUUGUUAUUCUUUCUUACGCUGCUGUAAAUGGAAUUGUUUUCAUUUCCUUUUCAGAUUGUUGUUAGUAUAUAAAAACACAAUUGAUUUUUGCAUGUUGAUUUUGUAUCCUGAAACUUUGCUGAAUUUGUUCAUUAGUUCUAACAGGUUUUUUUUUUUUUUUAAUAGAAUCUUUAGGGUCUUCUACAUAUAAGAUUAUGUCAUCUGCAAACAGAUAAUUUUUCUUCUUUUCUUAUUUGGAUGCAACAAACAAUAUUUAAAUACAAUAAAAUUUAUAAACCAC